ACACGAAUCACCAGGGAUCUCUUUAAAAUGCAGAUUCACAUACGGCAGACCCAGGGUAGGGCAAGAGAGUCUGCAUUUCUAAAAAGUUCCCAGGUGAUGCUGAU
rnacentral:pre_miRNA from 1 species